CACAUUCACCCCAAUGUUGGGGUGAGGCCAUACAAGGCGCUCACUACACACCAGGAGCAACUAGAGGAUUAAAGACCUUGCCUAAUAGUCAGCCCCUAUGUGGCUGACUAUUGAAAAUUCAAGUGGCCAAAUCUGUUUUUCCAAAGAGUAACGUCUAAGGAGAAUUUGCGCCGAAUUUGGUGCCUCCAAUCACCAUUUGUAGGAUUGUUUCAGUUAUCUGCUGCACAGUCUGACUUCAUGCUUGGUUUGUCAAUCAGUCAAUCAAAAAUCAAUAAUUGCCACAAAAAGACAACUGGGAAGCUUUUUCUCAAGUUGAAACAAAUAUUGGAUUUUGUCCAUUUUUAAUUCAGCUUAAAGAAUAAACAAGAAAAUGGCAAACAUGACCGAUUACAUGAGUCAGAAAUGGGGGUGAAGCGACACUUGUCUACAUGUAGAUAUGCAAAUACACAAUAUUUGCAAAGAUGGUUUAUAUAUAAAUAAUCUUUACAUAGAAAACUGCCAUAGAAUCAGUUUAGAUUAAAAACACAAUGUGUGUGAGUGUGGUGGUCAAAUUGUUUGUGCACUUGCUUCAAAACAAAAAGGUUCCCAGUUAAGACGAUCUGUGCCCAAAUCAACGUGCAGAUAUCAGAUCUGCUGCGGCGAUGCCGAUCACAAAGGGAGCAAAAAACAGCUAUUACAUUGUAAUGAACAGUUUCUGCAAAGAUCAGAGUGGAAUACACAAUUAUAAAAUCAAAAGUUACACCAUUUUUGUUUAAGUGCUAUGUGACUUAACAGCAAAAAUAUAAAUGUUUAAGAGCAAAAACAAAUGGUCAAAGUAAUAAAACCAGAGUAUGUUGUUGCACCGUUAUGGAACAUUUUCAGCAGUAACUCUGCUUAAACACUCCAAAAGUGCUUUACUAUAUAGCGUAGACAGACUACAAGUGAAUAUUGGUGUCGUAAAGGAAAGUGGGUCCUCAGUGGGCCAAUCAAACAUCUGCUUAACAGAAAAUCAUCUGUAGAUAAUUAAUCCACAGUCAUAUUUCAGAGCUUCUUGUCAUUUCGAUGUCAGUUUUUUUUUUCCCCGCAGGGCGUUCACUCCUCCUUCGUUACCCUGCCCAUAGAGGAACGCAGUGGAAGGCUGCCCUCUGCCCACGAGUCAGGGUACUGCAUCAUCUUCUGCCACAGACUGACCUCUUCUCCUACAGAGUCCAACUGCACUUCCUCUUUUCCUACAUUUACAGUGCCUGGAGAGGUGACAAUCACAAAUUAAAAUUAGUGCUUCUGUGGAAAUGUGACAACGCUAACUGUACCUUGGAAAAUAAAUAAAUAAAUAAACAUAAGUUUGAUGUUUGACC